CAUGACUGCUACAGGUGUGCAGAGAUCUGGAUUCUGUUCAGCCCUCCAGUAAGUCCACAAGUCCUGGGGUGGGCAGAGCCCCUAACUUGUAUUCUUCCUUGAGCACAUUUGGCCCCAUGAGUUUUGUGAAUACAUUCCUUUUCAUCCCAACAUGGGGAAGGCUUCAGGCACACAUGUGGCCCUGCUUGUUUGGGAUGCAACAGUGCAUGUUCAUCAGUCUCUCGCUAUGAACCAGAGGGUGCUCAUGUUUCCCCGUGGUCACUGCCACAGAUCAGUCACCAGUAAGGCUGCUACUGUCAUUCUCUCCUUACAGGUGGAAAAACUGAGGCAUAGAGAGCCUAAGUCACCAGUCUGGAUCAUGUGAUAGAAGCAACUGUUUGAUCAGUGUAAAGAGCCAACUGGGGCCACAGCAGGACCCACGUUAAGGCUCCCAUGUGUGCUCGUUCAGAGCCACCCAGCUGGCCAUGGCCAUGGAGCAGAGGUAGGCUGUGGGGUGCAGCAGACCAAGGAGAGGCCACGCUGUGUGCAUCCGGGAGGAGGUCCUAAUGAAUUAGGCAAGAGGCAGUGGCCAUCAGCAGGUGAGUGGUGGGGAUGCACUGAGGGAGGUGGAUACUGCCUGGGACUUCACUCCAAGGGCUACCAAGGGCCAUGGGAGGGGGUGCUGGGGAUGGCAUGGGUUUUGAGUUUCGUGUCCUUAAUGAAGUAAGAUAAAAGAGGGAGGAGGUACAGUUUGGAUGGGGGAGAUAAUGAACUGGGCUUUAGAACCAGCUGGGAUGGGAAUAAUUAAUCCACCCUAAGAGGGGAGGUGCGCUUUGGGACUGGGCCCCUACACUGCUUCCUAGGAAUGCUCCUGCCAUCAGCUUAUGCAAAUCUAAGUGUGCAGGAGCCCUGAUUGGGGUGCUAAGGAAUUGUCCAGCCAUCAACCCUCAUCUUCUCUGCAACAUCCUCCCUCUGAGCUGCUGCCACCAGUGAAAUUCCUCAGCCAAUGUAGGAGUUUUAAACAUCAUCAGGACCAGAAUCAAAGGGCAUUUCUGUAGGAAAAAGUGCACAGGCCAGGACCAAUUCAGCCUGUACCAGCAGUGAGAUGAGCAGGCUGCUCACAGUGGGCUGCCAGAGGCUGUGGCACCUGGGCAGAGGGUGGAGACAUAGCCCCCAUUCCAAGCACAUGCUGGGCUCUGACCUCGGCUACACACGGGGCCCCCAUCCCAAAUCCGUGUCACAGACUGACAGGACUGAGUCUGUGACUCUAAUCACAGACUGAGGCCUCAUCCUAAGCAAAUACUGAGCCCUGACCAUGGCCACACAUGGACCUGACCUUGGACACAGUGAGCUAUGAUCUUCAUGGGCUGAACCCUGGUCCUACUCAUGGUUAGAGACUGAGACUUCAACCCUAGCCACACAGUGAGCCUAGAUAAUGGCUCCAGACUGAGCUCAGCCCCUUGAUCAUGCCCUGCCCAGACCCUAGUCACAUGAGAACAUUGCUGUGGAUGCCCCAGGCCCUCCUGGUUUGGACAUUCUGUGAUCCUCUGAUUUUGUGUCUUGGGAUCCUUGUGACUGUGUUGCCCACUAUGGGCUAGAUGGACAAAUUGGAGUGUCCUCAUUCGUGGGAGCCAUCAUGUCAUUUUGUGUUCUGCUGUUUGCUCCUGUUCCCUUCCAGGUGGACUAUGAACCUGGGGGAGGCUUCACUUCCAGCCAGCUGCCAAGGUCUCAGUUCCCUCUUUACCCUUACACCAGGGUUUAUGAGCAAUGGUGACUUCUCCCUGCUCUAGGGGCUAGACAGCUGAGAUCAAAGUUGGCAGGUGUGGUGUCUGCUCGAGUGAUUGAUUUCCCAGCUCACAGAUGGUGCUUCUUGCAGUGUCCUCAUGGCGGGGAGCACAGGGCCCUGGGACCUCUUUUACAAGGGUUUUCAUUCCAUUAUGAGGACCCCACCCUUGUGGCCUCCUCACCUCCCGAGGACCCCACCUCUUAACAACGUCACCUUGGGGACCGGCUUUCAGCACAAGAAUCUUAAAGGUCACACACAUCCAGACUAGCACCAGGAGACCCUGGGUACCGCCAAGGGCAUGUUCAACAGAUGUGGAAUGUAUGAACUGGUAAAAUCCAAAUCCUCAUUAUUUGAGGAAAGAGGAAGUUUUGUUUUAUGAGAGGAAGUGAAGAGUCUCUUAGAACAUCCAGAAAUGAGGUGGGGUCAGAGUGAGGAGCUUGUACCAUUGCUGAGAAACUUCCUAAUAAAGGCACCAAUCCCACAGUUAGUGGACCUAGACUGGGUAUGUUUGUGUGGUGUGUGUGUGUGUGUGUGUGUGUGUAUGUGCCUGGUGUGUGGAUCUGGUAUGUGUGACGGGUGUGAUGGUUGCCUGCGAUGGGUGUGUGUGUUUGUCUGGCAUGUGUGUAUGUGGUAGCUACUGGAAUUCCAAUAGCAAAGUCCAACAGGACAGGGAAAGAGCCCAGGGUGUCAGGAGGGAGGGGACACUCUGCCCCCUGAGCUAGAAGCUUGAGGUGAUGCUGCUCAGUCACCCUUGCCUGGGCCCCUGUUGCCAUCCACUGAGGCACCUUGGAGGGUUGCAAGGCACCGAGGGUCUCCAGCUCCAUGAGGGAACAGGAGGUCCGUGACUGAGGGCACCAAUGGCCCAUUACUGUGCUGGGCAGCUGUGCACCAACCCCUCCUUGCAAGGACCAGGAGCAGCAUGGGCCAUGGCACAGGGGUCAUUGCUUUGCUCCUGGUGCUGUGUAUUUUUCUUUGACAGGAAACAAGCAAACAUCCUGGUACAAGACUGAAAAGUGUCAAUAAAAUCAGCAAGUACUCAUCACUCAGCUCUGCACUGAGCUCCUGCUCUGGGGUGGUCCCACCCACUGUGUACAGUGCUGAGUUUGAGAGGCAGAGGGGAGGGGGACCAGCCUGCAGCCUGGGCAGACCCAGUUGUGCCAUCUGGGCUCUGUUCAUUUUGAUCGCUUUUCAGGCAGAUCUGCAGCCACAACCCUCAGACAUGAUGCACACAUGUCCUUGUACUUUCUUGCUGCUGGGAAGCUGCAGAUACACUGCUGCCUGCAGCGCUCUGUCCCCUGUAAGUUGCUUUCAUUCUGCAUGGAUGGCCAUGGCAUGUUUGCCCUGGUCCCCAUCCGACAUGACACUGUAUCAAAGGUCUCGUUAUCAUGCUCUGGGUGACAGACAACUUGUCGGGAUUGUUUCUUGCUAUUCCUGAUACCACUUGGGAACAGACAGAAGUGAUGCAGCACGGGAUGCUGGGGCUCAGGUUUUUGAGGUUACAGCAUCACUUAAGGCUCAGCAGAGGAGCAGAGCCAGGAGGGGAAUUGGAGGAGGAACACAGGGGACCCGGGACGUUUGUGUGUGUGUGUGCGUGCACGCUUGCAGGGGAGAGAGUGAGGGAUGACCCAAGGGUAGGCACUGGCUGGACAUUUCAGGUGGCUUCAGCUUCGGUCCUGGCCCUUUUUCUCUGGCAGACUUUGUUUUUACUCUGAAGGCCAUUGGCUGAUUAAACAAGGCUCACUCAUAGUGGGAAAGGCAGCAUUCCCCAGUCGUCUGCAGCAGGGAAGUCAUGGAUUGAACAGCUUUUCUCCACCAGACCCUUCCAUCAUGCUGUUUCUGCCUCGGAGCUCCCCAACCAUGGACUGAAUCCUCUGAAACCAUGACCAGAAAUAAACUUUUCUUCCUAUAAGUUAUGGCUAUCGGGUGCUUUGUCUUACUGACAGAAAAGUGACAAACAUAAUGAUCAAGAGAAAGCAGGAAGAAAGCACUAGAACUAUUUAAUUUUUGCUUUUCUUCCUUUAAAUAUUCUACUGGAGGCAUGUUUUACCAUGUACAGCAUAGAAUGAGAUGUGUAAAUGAGUGUUAUGCACAGACCCUGAGGAUCUGGGUUGGGUUGCUUGGAAGCAGGUUUCAAAAGGAAGGUUUAUGUGUGUGUGACUUAUUAGGUAGUUCCCCAUAAAACAGAGACUGAGGAAGGGCAGUGAGGGAGAGGAAGGAGUAGCAAGGACAUGCUAGGAAGGCUGGCUCAGACUUGGGUCUUCAGAAUCAAUGUCCUGGGGUCCCCAGGCACAGUGUAGGGCUCACCUCCAACUGUCCAGGUCAUGGAGGAGGGAGCUAAAUAUUGAUGACCCUGUAAUCAUGAGACCCCAGAUAAAGGUUGCCCCUGGGGGCAGAGAGGUGUCCCUUCCAGCAGUGGAAAGGCACCACAGCCUGAAGGUAGACCUUUAGCAGAGAUGCAGAUGACAAGAGUAGGAGUGAGAGCACCUCUCAGUGUGAGAGAAAUGGUGAGCACACAGUGUCUGUCAUGUGCAGUCUGUUCCUAGCUGGUUUCUGCUGAGGCAGAGUUGUGACCCUCAGCCCCGAAAGUGUGUGUUAGCCCUUCUCCCAUGCAGCCAAGGCCCUCGGGUACUGGAGAAGCUGUUGCGCUCCCAGAGUGCAGGUUCCUCUGGAGUUCCUGUGAGUUCCUGACUCAUGGGCAUAUGAUGAUGGUGAGACAAGACCCAACCAUGGGCUCCAGACGUGGGUCCUUGGUAUACAGAAGGCAUGGAUGGGGCCUGGAG
ensembl:lncRNA